GGGUUUCGGGGCAUUUUGGUGAACCAAAACUAUUUGAUUGUAAUAAAUUUGGAAAGAUCAUCACAUUAGACUUAUGUUACUUGCUAGAAUUUUUUUGGAUUUAUUUCACAAUAUUUCUUACAAAAAUAUUUCAAAUACUUGAAAUAUCUAGAAACGGUUUUGGCGGGUAUUUGUCCAAUAUUUUGAACAUGGCCAAGUGAUGAAAGUCAUAUAUAUGGUAAAUAUAUGUCCACCAAGCUUCCGUAAAGCACUCCAAU
rnacentral:lncRNA from 1 species